UCGAACGCGAAAGUGGAGCAUCCAUGAGUAGAGUGGCAAACGGGUGAGUAACGCGUGGGUGACCUGCCUUCGAGUGGGGGAUAACGUUCCGAAAGGGACGCUAAUACCGCAUGACAUCCUACCUUUGAAGAGGUGGAGAUCAAAGCUGGGGAUCGCAAGACCUAGCACUCGAUGAGGGGCCCGCGUCUGAUUAGCUAGUUGGUGGGGUAACGGCUCACCAAGGCAACGAUCAGUAUCCGGCCUGAGAGGGCGGACGGACACACUGGGACUGAGACACGGCCCAGACUCCUACAGGAGGCAGCAGUGGGGAAUUGUUCGCAAUGGGCGCAAGCCUGACGACGCAACGCCGCGUGGAGGAUGAAGAUCUUCGGGUCGUAAACUCCUUUCGAUCGAGACGAACAGUCUCCGGGUGAACAAUCCGGAGGUUUGACGGUACCGAGAGAAGAAGCCCCGGCUAACUCCGUGCCAGCAGCCGCGGUAAUACGGGGGGGGCAAGCGUUGUUCGGAAUUACUGGGCGUAAAGGGCUCGUAGGCGGCCAACUAAGUCAGACGUGAAAUCCCUCGGCUUAACCGGGGAACUGCGUCUGAUACUGGAUGGCUUGAGUUUGGGAGAGGGAUGCGGAAUUCCAGGUGUAGCGGUGAAAUGCGUAGAUAUCUGGAGGAACACCGGUGGCGAAGGCGGCAUCCUGGACCAACACUGACGCUGAGUGAGCGAAAGCCAGGGGAGCAAACGGGAUUAGAUACCCC
rnacentral:rRNA from 1 species